rnacentral:rRNA from 1 species
GGGACACGUGGUAUCCUGUCUGAAUAUGGGGGGACCAUCCUCCAAGGCUAAAUACUCCUGACUGACCGAUAGUGAACCAGUACCGUGAGGGAAAGGCGAAAAGAACCCCGGCGAGGGGAGUGAAAAAGAACCUGAAACCGUGUACGUACAAGCAGUGGGAGCCUCUUAAUGGGGUGACUGCGUACCUUUUGUAUAAUGGGUCAGCGACUUAUAUUCUGUAGCAAGGUUAACCGAAUAGGGGAGCCGAAGGGAAACCGAGUCUUAACUGGGCGUUAAGUUGCAGGGUAUAGACCCGAAACCCGGUGAUCUAGCCAUGGGCAGGUUGAAGGUUGGGUAACACUAACUGGAGGACCGAACCGACUAAUGUUGAAAAAUUAGCGGAUGACUUGUGGCUGGGGGUGAAAGGCCAAUCAAACCGGGAGAUAGCUGGUUCUCCCCGAAAGCUAUUUAGGUAGCGCCUCGUGAAUUCAUCUCCGGGGGUAGAGCACUGUUUCGGCAAGGGGGUCAUCCCGACUUACCAACCCGAUGCAAACUGCGAAUACCGGAGAAUGUUAUCACGGGAGACACACGGCGGGUGCUAACGUCCGUCGUGAAGAGGGAAACAACCCAGACCGCCAGCUAAGGUCCCAAAGUCAUGGUUAAGUGGGAAACGAUGUGGGAAGGCCCAGACAGCCAGGAUGUUGGCUUAGAAGCAGCCAUCAUUUAAAGAAAGCGUAAUAGCUCACUGGUCGAGUCGGCCUGCGCGGAAGAUGUAACGGGGCUAAACCAUGCACCGAAGCUGCGGCAGCGACACUAUGUGUUGUUGGGUAGGGGAGCGUUCUGUAAGCCUGUGAAGGUGUACUGUGAGGUAUGCUGGAGGUAUCAGAAGUGCGAAUGCUGACAUAAGUAACGAUAAAGCGGGUGAAAAGCCCGCUCGCCGGAAGACCAAGGGUUCCUGUCCAACGUUAAUCGGGGCAGGGUGAGUCGACCCCUAAGGCGAGGCCGAAAGGCGUAGUCGAUGGGAAACAGGUUAAUAUUCCUGUACUUGGUGUUACUGCGAAGGGGGGACGGAGAAGGCUAUGUUGGCCGGGCGACGGUUGUCCCGGUUUAAGCGUGUAGGCUGGUUUUCCAGGCAAAUCCGGAAAAUCAAGGCUGAGGCGUGAUGACGAGGCACUACGGUGCUGAAGCGACAAAUGCCCUGCUUCCAGGAAAAGCCUCUAAGCAUCAGGUAACAUCAAAUCGUACCCCAAACCGACACAGGUGGUCAGGUAGAGAAUACCAAGGCGCUUGAGAGAACUCGGGUGAAGGAACUAGGCAAAAUGGUGCCGUAACUUCGGGAGAAGGCACGCUGAUAUGUAGGUGAAGCGACUUGCUCGUGGAGCUGAAAUCAGUCGAAGAUACCAGCUGGCUGCAACUGUUUAUUAAAAACACAGCACUGUGCAAACACGAAAGUGGACGUAUACGGUGUGACGCCUGCCCGGUGCCGGAAGGUUAAUUGAUGGGGUUAGCGGUAACGCGAAGCUCUUGAUCGAAGCCCCGGUAAACGGCGGCCGUAACUAUAACGGUCCUAAGGUAGCGAAAUUCCUUGUCGGGUAAGUUCCGACCUGCACGAAUGGCGUAAUGAUGGCCAGGC